AACGAACGCUGGCGGCGUGCCUAACACAUGCAAGUCGAGCGGGAAAGCCCGCAAGGGUGAGUACAGCGGCGCACGGGUGCGUAACACGUGGAUAAUCUGCCCUGAAGCUCGGGAUAACUCGCCGAAAGGCGUGCUAAUACCGGAUGAGACCACGGGAGCCUCGGCUCCUGCGGGAAAAGGUGGCCUCUGUAUACAAGCUAUCACUUCAGGAUGAGUCCGCGGCCCAUCAGCUCGGUGGCGGGGUAAUGGCCCACCAAGGCUACGACGGGUAGGUGGUCUGAGAGGACAAUCAGCAACACUGGAACUGAGACACGGUCCAGACGCCUACGGGAGGCAGCAGUGGGGAAUCUUGCGAAAUGGGCGAAAGCCUGACGCAGCAACGCCGCGUGUGUGAUGAAGGUCUUCGGAUCGUAAAGCACUGUCGGGAGAGACGAAUAAGGGCCGGGUGAACAAUCCGGUUCGGUGACGGUACCUCCAAAGGAAGCACCGGCUAACUCUGUGCCAGCAGCCGCCGUAAGAC
rnacentral:rRNA from 1 species